UAGGUUUUUUUGUAAUUAAAAAAAAAGAAAAAUCACAAUUACCUUAAGCAGCGGAGCUUAAUUAAGAGGAAGAAGCACCGGCUCUUGAUAUACGUGCCGUCUUCCAUCCUCUCCCGUUCUCUGCUUCUCACCGCCGUCAACGCUUCGUAACGAUGGCCACAAUCUUCUUCUCUUCCUCUCCACUUGCUUGAAACGGACAAAAAUGGCCACCAUAAACCCUAUUUUAUCUUCGUGCCUGCUCACUCUCUUCAAGCUGGGUCGAUUAACUUCUCUUAUGGCCAUGGGGGGUUCCUUCACCUCCCACAGAGAUUAGCUUCGACAGAAGGUUAUUCCACCUCCACAGUUUGUCAUCCAGAACCAGUAUGAGUUCUUCGUCCAGCGUAUGGGAGGCCCUCCUCUGUAUUCUCAAAGGAAAGGCUGCGAUUGAACUAUGGCUAGCCGCAAUGAUCCCUUACAGAUUGCAACUUCCUAACUGUUUUGUAUAUUGGGUUUGUGGGAGCUCAAACAAUGCCGGUUCUGUAUGAGAAAUAUGAAGACGAAGUUGGUGGUUUUGUUGAUUCUCUGCUCAUGAAGUUUCACAGUCACUAUAAGAAGAUGGAUACUGGCUUUCUCAGUCGAAUUCCAAGUGGAAGGUUUGGGUUCAAGAAGCAUGAUUAAAUCAACUUGUUUAUCUGUGGAUGAAAGGUAUGUGUAGCUUGGUUUACUCUUGAACGUCUUCUUCUUGGUUUACUCUUAUAGGAUGUUUCAAACAAUGUUGGCUUACUUUCUGAUGAUGGCAAUAGAUUUUACAAACCAAAGUGUUUCUUAAUUUUUUUUUGAUCUUUUAAUAUGUUUUAUAUAAUAAAUAAAUUUUAUCUUAAAUAAAACAAUGUUUAAUUUUUUUUUAAGAACUCCUAAAUAAGAUACUUGCAUUGGAGGACAAAAUUUAGAGGUUGCUUAAAAAAAGUGUUUAUCACCCAUUUAUUAUUAAAAAAGUGAUUAAGCACCCCAUUAGGGGUGCUAGGGUUAAUGGUGCUCUUAAAGACCCAGUUCCAGUGUUGGACAUUCUAGGCCUAAAGGCUCCAGCUCAUGCUAUUCAAUACGAGUCCAUAAACUUGGCUGGGUCCAGAAAACAGCGUGAUUCAUAUAAUCAAACAGAAAAGUUGUCUUAGACUGGCCAGGUUUGAUUCUAUUUGGGGCAAAACAGAAAUUCAUGACUCUUGUAAAUUAAUUAUAUUCUUGAUAGUCAAAACUUUCAAAUUAUUUUUCAUGUUCAGAGAACUGUAAUACAGUAUAUUAUUAUCAGGUCUUAUUUUUUGUAUAUUGGGGGUUUUUUUACCAAAAUCAAACACAACAAUUAUAAAGAACCAAAAUCUAUUUCAUUUUGAUAUCGGUACCAAAAACAAGAAACUAAACGAAGGGUGGAAUACAGACAACCCAAGCUUAUUAGAUUUGAUCAUCUUCUGUUCUUUUUUGUGGUUUUGGGUCUUGCAGUUUUGCACAAUAGUACUGUAUUUGAUCAUGAGUUUCAUAAAGAAAAUAAAA